UAAGGAAUAUUGGUCAAUGGACGCAAGUCUGAACCAGCCAUGCCGCGUGGAGGAUGAAGGUCCUCUGGAUUGUAAACUUCUUUUAUCUGGGACGAAACACUCCUAUUCUUAGGGGCCUGACGGUACCAGAUGAAUAAGCACCGGCUAACUCCGUGCCAGCAGCCGCGGUAAUACGGAGGGUGCAAGCGUUAUCCGGAUUCACUGGGUUUAAAGGGUGCGUAGGUGGGUAUGUAAGUCAGUGGUGAAAUCCCCGAGCUUAACUUGGGAACUGCCGUUGAUACUAUAUAUCUUGAAUGUCGUAGAGGUAAGCGGAAUAUGUCAUGUAGCGGUGAAAUGCUUAGAGAUGACAUAGAACACCAAUUUCGAAGGCAGCUUGCUAUGCGAUUAUUGACACUGAGGCACGAAAGCGUGGGUAGCAAACA
rnacentral:rRNA from 1 species